CGAGAUGUAGUAGCAAGGAUCUUGUUUCUUUUUUGUUCAACAUAGAAACAAGAAUGGAGAAGAUAUGUUUCUUGCUGCUUAUUAAAGUCCCUUUGCUCGUCCUUCGGAUAUUUCUUAAGCCAUUUCCCCUUUAUUUACGGAAAGAUCUAACUAAAGCCUUUGGUAAGCUGAAGCACAAAAGGAAAAAAAGAGUGACAUGACAAAUGAGAGCAUUGAUCUUCAUCUGCAAACUCUGAAAUUAUUAUAUUACUGUUAAUAUGCCUUCAAGUAUUAUGGUGAUUUGCUCUAAUCCGAAAUAAACUUUGUUUGCUCCAAAAUAUUUAGAUAUGAACAAAUUUAUGCCUCAAACAAGGAGCUAGCUAUCCUGAAUAAGAGAUCAAAUGAGGUAGAUAAGAGGAGUCAAAAUAAUAGUCUAGAUUUUGCUUUCCCAGCUAAAUUUAGUCAAAGGUAUAUAAUAAUCCAGUUCAACGGGGCAUUUCAAUUCAGUGCAAGUUGUUUCAAGAGUUGGCAAAACGUUGAGUUUUGAAUGAACAGUGAUUACAUGCUCACAUAUUUAUAACUAACAGACCUUAACGGACUUCAGAAUGCAACAACUACCAAAAGUAUUGCUGAAGCUAAACAGGCAGAUGGCAAUCAUCCUGUUCCAAACAUAGAGUUUUAAUAUAUGGUUAUUUAUAGAGCCAAGUUAGACCUAUAACGGAGACAUGAUACCAAUUCAUUCAGAAGAUGUCAAAUGUCUUGGAUACAAAUGAGGUUUAUGCAUAAUUCAUAGAUAUACUUGGAGACUGAAUACUUAUUUGAGACAGUCUGAAGUACUGCAGAUGAUACAAGCUCAGCAAGAGGUGGAAUGAAGCUGUUGUCACAAUCCAGAACAUGUGUAUUCUCAUAACAUCUCAAAGAGUUCACGGUUAAGUUUGCAACAAAGCAUCGUGAGGAGCCUGAAGAAAUAUUUGCUAAUUAACUGCAAUGCUUCCCGAAGAUGAUAAAUGACACACAGAGAGAAGAGAGGAGGGAGAAAGGAGAACCUUCAGCUUUAUUUCCAAGCAAUUCAAAUUAUGGAGAGCUUUUUUUAUCUCCAAAACUUUGGAACUUAGCUCUAUAUCACUGUGGGGAAUAUUGUCCAGCAAUGGUAUAACCGCACAUAUCAAGUACGGUUCUGCCUACAAAUUAUGUCAAAGUGAAGAUCUUCUUGGAUAUUCUGAUUGUGAGCAUAAGAGUGUCUAUAGUGCUUAAGCCAAUAUUCAUGGAAAAUGAUGCUACAAGAAACAUGAAGUAGAUUCUAUACUACUUAUAAUCCCCUAGGCCGUAUGCCAUUAAAUAACUUACUCGGUUGGUGUAACUACCUAUUAUUUAUUAAAGCGUAAAGUCGAAUACCC
rnacentral:lncRNA from 1 species